AUACUUACAGUACCUGGCAGGGGAGAUACCAUGAUCAAGAAGGUGGUUCACCCAGAGUGAGGCUCAACCAUUGCAGAUGUCUGACCCUUGCGAAUUCCCCAAAUGUGGGAAUCUUGACUACAUAACUUCUGGUAGUGGGGGACUGUGUUCGCACUCUGCCUUG
rnacentral:snRNA from 1 species